GGAUCAUUAUUAUAUUUUUAGUAUACUUAAUUGCAGAUUAAGGGGAUUUUGGUCUU
rnacentral:tRNA from 1 species